CCAAUAGCGUAUAUUAAAGUUGUUGCAGUUAAAAAGCUCGUAGUUGAAUUUCGGGGUUAGUAGGUUGGUCAUGCCUCUGGUAUGUACUGAUCUCACUGAUUCCUCCUUCCUUAUGAACCGUAAUGCCAUUAAUUUGGUGUUGCGGGGAAUUUGGACUGUUACUUUGAAAAAAUUAGAGUGUUUAAAGCAGGCUAACGCUUGAAUACAUUAGCAUGGAAUAAUGAAAUAGGACGUUCGAUCUUAUUUUGUUGGUUUCUAGGAUUGACGUAAUGAUUAAUAGGGAUAGUUGGGGGCAUUAGUAUUCAAUUGUCAGAGGUGAAAUUCUUGGAUUUAUUGAAGACUAACUACUGCGAAAGCAAUUUGCCAAGGAUGUUUUCAUUAAUCAAGAACGAAAGUUAGGGGAUCGAAGACGAUCAGAUACCGUCGUAGUCUUAACCAUAAACUAUGCCGACUAGGGAUCGGAUGAUGUUAAUUUUUUAAUGACUCAUUCGGCGCCUUACG
rnacentral:rRNA from 1 species